GUAACAAGGUUUCCGUAGGUGAACCUGCGGAAGGAUCAUUACAGAAUGAAAGUGCUUAACUGCAUUUUUUUUACACAUGUGUUUUUCUUUUUUUUUGAAAACUUUGCUUUGGUGGGCCCAUGGCCUGCCAGAGAUUAAACUCAACCAAAUUUUUAUUUAAGUCAACUGAUUAACUAAUAGUCAAAACUUUCAACAACGGAUCUCUUGGUUCUCGCAUCGAUGAAGAACGCAGCGAAAUGCGAUAAGUAAUAUGAAUUGCAGAUAUUCGUGAAUCAUCGAAUCUUUGAACGCACAUUGCGCCCUUUGGUAUUCCAAAGGGCAUGCCUGUUUGAGCGUCAUUUCUCCCUCAAACCUUCGGGUUUGGUGUUGAGCGAUACGCUGGGUUUGCUUGAAAGAAAGGCGGAGUAUAAACUAAUGGAUAGGUUUUUUUUCCACUCAUUGGUACAAACUCCAAAAUUCUUCCAAAUUCGACCUCAAAUCAGGUAGGACUACCCGCUGAACCUAAGCAUAUCA
rnacentral:misc_RNA from 1 species